ACGCUCGACACCUACUGGAGGCAGCAGUGGGGAAUAUUGGGCAAUGGGCGCAAGCCUGACCCAGCAACGCCGCGUGAAGGAAGAAGGCCCUCGGGUUGUAAACUUCUUUUGUCAGGGACGAAGCAAGUGACGGUACCUGACGAAUAAGCCACGGCUAACUACGUGCCAGCAGCCGCGGUAAUCUGAGCGGGCUGGCAAGGC
rnacentral:rRNA from 1 species